AACAAUAGUUUCUAGCAGAAAUUAUAACAGUAUUAGAAAUCAUUUUAACACCACAUCUUUAAAACAUUUGUAAAUAUAACAAAUUAAUAAUGAAACUAUUUCAAGUGAUAUUCGCAAUUGGCUGCAUAAUUGUCAGCGUUUUGGCAGCGCCUGGUCAUAAUAUCGUAAAAGGCGAUCACAAUACUAAUAUUUCUCAAAGCAAUAGCGAUUUUGAUCUUGGUAUCGAUUUUUCACUAUAAUUAUAAAAAUCAUGAGAAAAUUAUAGAAAAAAACUGUAUAAAUAGACAUGUCAAGGCAAUGUCUGAUACAUUUGAAAAUAUAGCACUCCAGCCUAAAGUACACUUUAUCAGAAUGAAAUUAUUGCAAGUACUAUUUGGAAUUUCUUGCGUUAUAGCCCUCGCUAUGGCUGUUCCUGGUGAUAAUACAAUUAAGGGAGAUAACAAUACUGGAAAUGAACAGAGCAAUCUAGAUUUUAGUGCCAAAUUAUUUGGCUAAUUUAUUUAUAAUGUUUUAUUAUUCCAGAAUCUCGACUUUGAGAUCUUGUGAUUUUCGGAAUGCAAAUAAAUGAAUUAUAAUUUACUUUUUCUGUAUAAA